rnacentral:lncRNA from 1 species
UAUUAUAUCAAAGUUCGUAGUUCAUACAUGAUACAUCAAUAAUAACAUAGAUCACAUAGAGACAUAUCUCCGCUAUUUGGGCCUCCAAGUUAUUUGGGCCGAUGGAAAUAAAUCUAAGGCCAAAUAGCGGCGCUAAACUAACCCAAUUUAGCGAAAUUAACGUGCUAUUAGCUGCUAAUAACGGGAACAAUCAUUUAGCGUUAAAAUCUUCAUAGAUUAGUAGUCUUUCAGAAACGCUAAAUAGCGCUAUAGCGUCCGCUAUAGCGCGCUAUUUAGAACAGGGGUUUUAUCACAUCGUACGGGCAAUGUCGGCGCCAUACAUUCCCCUUGUACACAGCACGACGUGUGCUUACUGCUUGGACUCUGCGCGUGACAAGGCAUAUCCGGGACUGGACUUCGCGGUGGUCUGAUGACUGUAGCAAUCCCGGUGUAAAAAGACUGGUCGCACUGUUCCAUAGCUAUCCACUUCAGUAUGAGCACUCUCGUCAAUCUUCCUGACGCUACGCUGUGUUAAUUUAGGUUAGGUGCUGUCUCACGCUUGAACAACCAACAUCACCAGCAGAGCACAGCCAGUGCUCGACUGCCUCCGAGAAUUCUACACCGCUGCUGCACGCUGCACAUGCAAUGCAACGGCCCGGAUGCGGGAAUCGUGUGCUGGCAUCUCCUGUAUUAUGCUAAUCCACGAUGUCCAAGAGAUUCUGGGCACUGGGGACUAAUCUACGGAGCCGAGAAGUCCAUGCACGCCCACCCCACCCAGCUCACGUCCAGCCGAGUGCCGCUGCCGCCCACUUCAAGUUCAAGCCUCCACGACGGGAUCCCAAAAUAAAAUGAGCUGCAAUCCAGUGAUUAGUGAGGCCUUGUUUACUUCCAAAUUUUUUUGCAAAAUAGGAAUAGUAGCACUUUCGUUUGUAUUUGACAAAUAUUAUUAAAUUAUGAACUAACUAGACUCAAAAUAUUCGUCUCGUCAAUUCCGACCAAACUAUACAAUUUGUUUUAAUUUUCAUCUAUAUUUAAUACUCCAUACAUACGUCUAAAGAUUCGAUGUGACGGGAAAUCUGAAAAAUUUUGCAAAAUUUUUCAGGAACUAAACAAGGCCUGAAGCUCUCUCCCACCUGCCCUCACUCUCCAGUCACCACCCGCCAUCGCAGGCUGCUGACCUGCCGGCACGCGCGGCCCGCACGGGGCCCCACGUGCGGUUGCGCGCGCACCUGUCGCGCGGGCGGGCGGCCGCCCAUGCCCGAUCUGACGGCGGGCCGUGCUGGGCUGCUGGCAGCGAUCGACGACCGAGAUCCGCACCCGACGGUCCCGUGAGGCCGUGGCAGUUUGAUAGUCGACGACGCUCGACGCGCUUUCAGUUGACCUGUAGUUCUCAGUGCAAUUCCCCUCUUCUUCUUUUUUUCACCAUCGGCGCC